GACAGAGGGUGCAAACGUUGUUCGGAAUUACUGGGCGUAAAGGGCGCGUAGGCGGUUGCUCAAGUCAGGCGUGAAAGCCCCGGGCUCAACCUGGGAACCGCGCUUGAGACUGGGCGGCUUGAGUUCGGGAGAGGUGAGUGGAAUUCCCAGUGUAGAGGUGAAAUUCGUAGAUAUUGGGAAGAACACCGGUGGCGAAGGCGGCUCACUGGACCGACACUGACGCUGAGGCGCGAAAGCGUGGGGAGCAAACAGG
rnacentral:rRNA from 1 species